rnacentral:rRNA from 1 species
AUACGGAGGGUGCAAGCGUUAUCCGGAAUCAUUGGGUUUAAAGGGUCCGUAGGCGGGCUAUUAAGUCAGAGGUGAAAUCCCACAGCUCAACUGUGGAACUGCCUUUGAUACUGAUAGUCUUGAGUUACAGUGAAGUAGAUAGAAUAUGUAGUGUAGCGGUGAAAUGCAUAGAUAUUACAUAGAAUACCGAUUGCGAAGGCAGUCUACUAACUGUAUACUGACGCUGAUGGACGAAAGCGUGGGGAGCAAACAGGAUUAGAAACCCUAGUAGUCC